rnacentral:rRNA from 1 species
AUUCUGGAUACUUAGUACGGCGAGUGAAGCGGUAAAAGCUCAAAUUUGAAAUCUGGUACUUUCAGUGCCCGAGUUGUAAUUUGUAGAAUUUGUCUUUGAUUAGGUCCUUGUCUAUGUUCCUUGGAACAGGACGUCAUAGAGGGUGAGAAUCCCGUUUGGCGAGGAUACCUUUUCUCUGUAAGACUUUUUCGAAGAGUCGAGUUGUUUGGGAAUGCAGCUCAAAGUGGGUGGUAAAUUCCAUCUAAAGCUAAAUAUUGGCGAGAGACCGAUAGCGAACAAGUACAGUGAUGGAAAGAUGAAAAGAACUUUGAAAAGAGAGUGAAAAAGUACGUGAAAUUGUUGAAAGGGAAGGGCAUUUGAUCAGACAUGGUGUUUUUUGCAUGCACUCGCCUCUCGUGGGCUUGGGCCUCUCAAAAAUUUCACUGGGCCAACAUCAAUUCUGGCAGCAGGAUAAAUCAUUAAGAAUGUAGCUACUUCGGUAGUGUUAUAGCUUUUUGGAAUACUGUUAGCCGGGAUUGAGGACUGCGCUUCGGCAAGGAUGUUGGCAUAAUGGUUAAAUGCCGCCCGUCUUGACCCACCGAACCA